CAGUAGCCGCGGUAAUACAGAGGGUGCGAGCGUUAAUCGGAUUUACUGGGCGUAAAGCGUGCGUAGGCGGCUUCUUAAGUCGGAUGUGAAAUCCCUGAGCUUAACUUAGGAAUUGCAUUCGAUACUGGGAAGCUAGAGUAUGGGAGAGGAUGGUAGAAUUCCAGGUGUAGCGGUGAAAUGCGUAGAGAUCUGGAGGAAUACCGAUGGCGAAGGCAGCCAUCUGGCCUAAUACUGACGCUGAGGUACGAAAGCAUGGGGAGCAAACAGGAUUAGAUACCCCCGUAGUCCCUGUCUCUUAUAC
rnacentral:rRNA from 1 species